rnacentral:rRNA from 1 species
UACAGAGGUCUCAAGCGUUGCUCGGAUUCAUUGGGCGUAAAGGGUGCGUAGGUGGCGCCGUAAGUCAGGUGUGAAAUUUCGGAGCUUAACUCCGAAACUGCAUUUGAUACUGCGGUGCUUGAGGACUGGAGAGGAGACUGGAAUUCACGGUGUAGCAGUGAAAUGCGUAGAUAUUGGGAGGAACACCAGUGGCGAAGGCGGGUCUCUGGACAGUUCCUGACGCUGAGGCACGAAGGUCAGGGGAGCAAACGGG